rnacentral:sRNA from 1 species
UAAAAUCGUUUACUGAAGUUAACAAUAGAAAUCAACAAAAAGUUUUGCAGAUUUACUUCUUUCCAGCAGAGACCUUGGCCUUGGCGGUUCCUCGGACCUUCUUUUGUCUG